rnacentral:lncRNA from 1 species
AAUAAUCUUAAAAUUUCACAUAAAUUUCUUUUGGCUCCUAUAGUCAAUGUGACCUAAUCCUGCCCCAUAUGUGUCUGCUCAUAAUCACAUUGAUGCCAAGGCCUUAUCAUGUCAUGACGCAGUGUAAGAAAUACUUCACCUUUGUUCCAACAGAGAAAAAGCUGUCAAAGAAUUGUGUUAUCCCUUGACACACAGGGAGGUAGCCUCACAGAACCCAAUAGAACCUUCAAGACAAUAGUGCCGCAGUCCAGCUGCAGCAAAAUAACCGGGGGUGACGAACAACUUGUGCACGUUGAUACAGCAGGAGAGGGAGCCGUUUAUUGUAGGACAGGAGCGGUAUUUAUACAUUCCACACAGCUUAUCUAAUUAGCAUAAACUAGAUACAGCAGUCAACCAAUCAGGAAUCUCCACACUUAAUGGCUCGCUUUUGUUACUUCUCAAACCACUCCCUCUGGCAUUUUGCCAGGCACCACCCAGACUUGUUUACGAACUCUAACAUUCCCCUGGCAAAAUGCCAGGUGUUAUUUUGACUUGUUUAUAGACUCUAACAUUUCCCCCUUUUGUUUAAUUUAAAUAACGACCAUAGUGGUUUUUACAGAAACACCAUAAAUAACCUGCUACAAACAGAAAGGGAGGAUACAAAAUGCCAUAAUACCAAGCCAAUCGAUGGCUCCAUGCAAGAAGCCCUUGGAAAAAUUAUACCAGCAAUGACACUGUUAGCAAAGAUACCGAGUUACAAUUUGUUAUAGAUUACAGUUUGUUGUCUCAGUCCAGGUAAAGCAGUGUCUCAAUAGAUUAACUCACAGUCCAGGUAAAUCACAGUCCAGGUAAGUUCUGCAGGCAGCUAGCUUAAAUCACAGUCCAGGUAAGUUCUGCAGGCAGCUAGCUUAAUCCGAAGUCUCGUCCGGUUCUCAGCUGAAAUCUCAGUCCGGUUCUCAGCAACACUGGGAAUUCUUCCACCUUGGUCUUUACCGGCACUGGGACGAAGGCAGGAACUCCGGAUGGCUAAAGAAAAUCCUGUAGCAUUCUACUAAGAAAACAACCUUCUGAACAAUUUAGUAC